rnacentral:rRNA from 1 species
AUGGAAGAUAUGGCAAAUGAAGAAUAUUCUGAUUCUGAGCAGAUGGUUAUUCAUAAUAUUUCUGUAGUGUCACUUUUUCAAUAUGUGAUGUUCGGAAGACUAUUCAAAACACCACGUAAUACUUCCAAAUUAACUGGUGCUCAGAAAACUAAAGAGUGGUUAGAAGGGCAUCCAGUUAGAUUUUAUGAACAACUUCGCGUUGAUAAGCACACCUUCUGCUUACUGCGAGAUGCAUUGUGCGAGAGGAAUUUACUUACGGAUACAAAGCGGAUGGAUGUGAAUGAACAACUAGUGAUAUUUCUACAUACAAUUGGGCACAAUGUUAGGAAUCGUGUUCUCCAGGAUAGAUUUCAACAUUUAGGGGAAACAAUUAGUCGACACUUCAAGAGAGUUUUAAAAGCCAUAAAUGGUUUGCGUGAUGCUUGCAUAACUGAUCCGGCUAAUGAAAGUUCCAACAAAAAUAUUGGGCGACGAAAGGUACUACCCAUACUUCAAGGUAUAUAUCGUAUCUCAAGAACAUGUUCCUUUUUCAUAUGA